rnacentral:rRNA from 1 species
UACGUAGGGUCCGAGCGUUGUCCGGAAUUAUUGGGCGUAAAGAGCUCGUAGGCGGUUUGUCGCGUCUGCUGUGAAAUCCCGAGGCUCAACCUCGGGUCUGCAGUGGGUACGGGCAGACUGGAGUGCGGUAGGGGAGAAUGGAAUUCCUGGUGUAGCGGUGGAAUGCGCAGAUAUCAGGAGGAACACCGAUGGCGAAGGCAGUUCUCUGGGCCAUAACUGACGCUGAGGAGCGAAAGCGUGGGGAGCGAACAGG